rnacentral:rRNA from 1 species
UACGGUAGGGCGCAAGCGUUGUCCGGAAUUAUUGGGCGUAAAGAGCUCGUAGGCGGUCUGUCACGUCUGCUGUGAAAACCCGGGGCUUAACCCCGGGCUUGCAGUGGAUACGGGCAGACUAGAGGCAGGUAGGGGAGAAUGGAAUUCCCGGUGUAGCGGUGAAAUGCGCAGAUAUCGGGAGGAACACCGGUGGCGAAGGCG